rnacentral:sRNA from 1 species
AAAUUUCAGCUUCCUGUUUUUCUGACAGGGUCUCGCUAUGUUGUCCAGGCUGGAGUGCAGUGGCGUGGAUUACAGCUCACUGGAGUCUUGACUUCCCAGGCACAAGCAAUCCUCCCACCUUAGCCUCCUAACUACCUGGGACUAAAAAUGCAUGCCACCACAUCCGGCUAAUUUUUUGUAUUUUUUGUAGAGAUGGGGUUUCACCACGUUGGCCAGGCUGGUCUCAAACUUCUGGGCUCAAGCGAUUGUCCGCCUUGGCCUCCUCCACAACAUCUUGACUUAUGAAAUAAAAAAUUAAACUUAUUUAUGAUUCUUUUACAUCAUUGGUGUUUUAAGGGCUUCUGGUGUAAGUUUGAAAACACUGACUUUUUUUUUUCUCUUUCCAUUGUAGGACAGUCAUUUUGUUUACUCAUUCAGCCCUGUUGCAGGUCCCAAUAAACUCUUCAUAAGGUUGACAGAAGCACCCUCUGCCAAGGUUAAGUUGCUAAUAGGUGCAUACAGAGUGCAGCUGCAGUGACCAAACAGAAGGGACUGGGCGGAGUUCUCUUCAGACCGAUUCCUAUACUCUCUUUGACAGCAGUUUG